rnacentral:rRNA from 1 species
CUACGGGUUGCUGCCGUGAGGAAUAUUGCACAAUGGGGGGAACCCUGAUGCAGCAACGCCGCGUGGAGGAUGACGCAUUUCGGUGUGUAAACUCCUUUUAUAUGUCAAGAAAAUGACGGUAGCAUAUGAAUAAGCACCGGCUAACUCCGUGCCAGCAGCCGCGGUAAUACGGAGGGUGCAAGCGUUACUCGGAAUCACUGGGCGUAAAGGACGCGUAGGCGGGUUGGAAAGUCAGGUGUGAAAUCCUACAGCUUAACUGUAGAACUGCACUUGAAACUUCUAAUCUAGAGUAUGGGAGGGGGAGAUGGAAUUAGUGGUGUAGGGGUAAAAUCCGUAGAUAUCACUAGGAAUACCUAAAGCGAAGGCGAUCUCCUGGAGCAUUACUGACACUAAGGCGUGAAAGCGUGGGGAGCAAACAGGAUUAGAUACCCUAGUAGUC